rnacentral:rRNA from 1 species
UACGUAGGGUGCGAGCGUUAAUCGGAAUUACUGGGCGUAAAGCGUGCGCAGGCGGUUCGUUGUGUCGGCGGUGAAAGCCCCGGGCUUAACCUGGGAAUGGCCGUUGAAACUGGCGAACUGGAGUGUGGCAGAGGGGGGUGGAAUUCCGCGUGUAGCAGUGAAAUGCGUAGAGAUGCGGAGGAACACCGAUGGCGAAGGCAGCCCCCUGGGCUAACACUGACGCUCAGGCACGAAAGCGUGGGGAGCAAAAGGG